AUCGANAAGACCUUAUGCUUUUGGAGCGGCCGAUGACUGAUUAGCUAGUUGGUAGGGUAAUGGCUUACCAAGGCGACGAUCAGUAGUUGGUCUGAGAGGACGGCCAGCCACACUGGGACUGAGACACGGCCCAGACUCUACGGGAGGCAGCAGUGGGGAAUUUUGGACAAUGGGCGCAAGCCUGAUCCAGCAAUGCCGCGUGAGUGAAGAAGGCCUUCGGGUUGUAAAGCUCUUUCAGUUGAGAAGAAAAGGUCGUGACUAAUAAUCAUGACUCAUGACGGUAUCAACAGAAGAAGCACCGGCUAACUACGUGCCAGCAGCCGCGGUAAUACGUAGGGUGCAAGCGUUAAUCGGAAUUACUGGGCGUAAAGGGUGCGCAGGCGGUUCUGUAAGUCAGAUGUGAAAUCCCCGGGCUUAACCUGGGAACUGCGUUUGANUACUACAA
rnacentral:rRNA from 1 species